AGUGAUGUCCUCUUACCGGUCAGGUGGGAAGUAACAGUGAUGUCCUCUUACCUGUCAGGUGGGAAGUAACAGUGAUGUCCUCUUACCCGUCAGGUGGGAAGUAACAGUGAUGUCCACUUACCGGUCAGGUGGGAAGUAGCAGUGAUCUCCUCUUACCGGUCAGGUGGGAAGUAGCAGUGCCAACACUGCCAAGUGGCUGGCUUGUCCUCUACUGACUCCAAUGUCCUCUCCAAACACCUCCACCACCUCCACUCCCACUGUCUGCACGCCAGCUCCCUCUGACCACAGAUAGACCAUACAUUAACAACACAACAGGGUCAAUACACGGUCACACCAAACAUAACCUUGUCCAGGUUAUCGUGCACAACACAUGUAAGCCUGGGAUAUCAAUCACUCAAAGUUGGCCUUACUGGGAGUGACCAUAGAUAUCUAUGGGACUUACUGAGUAAAGUAUUUGUCAUCAAUAAAUUUUUGCCAAUCACACAACUGCGAGGCGUGCCUCUGUGCUUGUGGGGUGCUAGCGUACAGGGGAGCGUUAGGGGGAAGGUGUUGUGGGAGAUGAUUGUUUGGUAGAUUAAGCCAUUUCAUGUUUUGAUGGAUUUAAUGAAUUGAUAUGUGUUGGGAGUAUACAUUAUAAUAUACCUAGGAAAUCACGGCAGCAAAGUUAUCCAAACCAUAUCAUUACUUUCAUUUAUAACUUUGUUAAUGCGAGUGUUGCGAAAUGCUUGUGCUUCUAGUUCCGGCAAUGUGGUAAUAUCCAACGAGUAAUCUAACCUAACAAUUCCAAAACUACUACCUUAUACACACAAGUGUAAAGGAAUGACUAAGAAUAUGUACCUAAAAAAAUAUCUGAAUGAGUGAUGGUAUAGAACGGCAUAGGCAAGAUGCAGUAGAUGGUAUAGAGUACAGUAUAUACAUAUGAGAUGAGUAAUGUAGGAUAUGUAAACAUUAUAUGAAGUGGCAUUGUUUAAAGUCCCACUGUGACGAUUACAGCGUAUCCAAACCAAAAACUGUGGAUAGAGCAAAACUUAAAGCGCGAACCACCACAUUUAACCAUGGAAAUGUGACUGGGAACAUGGAUGAGCACAAAUAGUCCAGCUAUGCUCUCCGUAAAGCAAUCAAACAGGCAAAAUGUCAGUGCAGAGACAAAGUGGAGUCGCAAUUCAAUGAUUCAGACACGAGACACAUGUGGCAGGGAUUCCAGACAAUCACAUAUUGUAAAGGGAACAUCAGCCUUGCACCCAGACAAGCUAAACACCUUCUUCACCUGCUUCAUGGGAAACACAGUCACGACGACUGUGAGCUCUCAUUCUCCGUGGCCGACAUGAGUAAGACAUUUAAGCAUGUCAACCCUCGCAAGGCUGCCAGCCCAGACGGCAUCCCUAGCCUCGUCCUCAGAGCAUGUACAGACCAGCUGGUUGGAGUGUUUAUGGGCAUAUUCAAUCUCUCCCUAUCCCAAUCUGUUGUGUCCACUUGCUUCAAAAUGUCCACCAUUGUUCCUGUACCCAGAAAGCAAAGGUAACUUAACUAAAUGACUAUCGCCCCGUAGCACUCCCUUCUGUCAUUAUGAAGUGCUUUGAGAGGCUAGUUAAGGGUCAUAUCACCUCUACCUUACCUUACCUGACACCCUAGACCCACUACAAUUUGCAUACCGCCACAACAGAUGCAGGGAUGACGCAAUCACCAUAGCACUGCACACUGCCCUAUCCCAUCUGGACAAGAGGAAUACUUAUGUAAGAAAGUUGUUCAUCGACUACAGCUCAGCCUUCAACACCAUAUAGUGCCCUCCAAGCUCAUCACUAAGCUCGAGGCCCUGGGUCUGAACCCCACUCUGUGCAACUGGGUCCUAGACUUCCUGAAGGAUCGACCCCAGGUGGUGAAGGUAGGCAACAACACCUGAUUCUCGACACAGGUGUUUGCUCAGCCCACCUUAGAAACUGCUGACUUAUGUACAUAGUCAUUGAACACUGGUCACUUCAAUAAUGUUUACAUAAUGUUGUACCCACUUCAUAUGUAUACUGAACAAAAAUAGAACUGCAACAUAUAAAGACUUCAUCCUAUAUUCCAUGAGCUGAGGAGUAUUUCUGUCUGUAAUAAAGCCCUUUUUGUGGGGGAAAUUAAUUCUGAUUGGCUCGGCCUGGCUCCCCAAUUGGUGAGUCUGGCUCCCAAGUGGGUGGGCCUAUGCUCUGCCACUGCGCCCCCUUGCCCAGUCAUCUGAAAUCCAUACAUUAGGGCCUAAUGAAUUUAUUUCAAUUGACCGAUUUCCUUAUAUAAACUAUAACUCAGCAAAAUCGUUGAAAUUGUUGCAUGUUGCGUUUAUAUUUUUGUUCAGUAUAUAUACUGUAUUCUAGUCAAGGCUCAUCCUAUACAUUAUAUAGUAACUACUGCUGUACACACCUUGUCUAUUCGUAUACUGUCCAUAAUGUCUAUACCCACCAUCAUAUAAAUACUGUAUAGAUUUAUAUUCUGGACUCUGACAUUGCUCGUUCUAAUAUUUCUAAAUUCCUUGAUUUUUGGGAUUUGCCUGUUAGGUUUUACUGCACUGUUGGAGCUAGGAAAAUAUGUUACGUGAACAAU